UGGGGAAUAUUGGACAAUGGGCGAAAGCCUGAUCCAGCCAUGCCGCGUGUGUGAAGAAGGUCUUUGGAUUGUAAAGCACUUUAAGUUGGGAGGAAGGGCAGUAAGUUAAUACCUUGCUGUUUUGACGUUACCGACAGAAUAAGCACCGGCUAACUCUGUGUCAG
rnacentral:rRNA from 1 species